rfam:Thalassiosira oceanica strain CCMP1005 To_g03689, whole genome shotgun sequence.
UCUUCCUUAGCUCAGUUGGUAGAGCGCGAGACUGUUAAUCUUGAGGCCGUGAGUUCAAUCCUCACAGGAAGAG